GGCAACCCACUAGAGUCCACUUCCGGCAGUGGAAGCUUUGUUCUUUUGCUCUUUGCAGUAAAUCUUGCUGCUGCUCACUCUUUGGGUCUGCACUGCCUUUAUGAGCUGUUAACACUCACCACGAAGGUCUGCAGCUUCACUCCUGAGGCCAGCAAGACCACAAACCCACUGGGAGGAGUGAACAACUCCAGAUGUUCCACUUUAAGAGCUGUAACACUCACUGUGAAGGUCUGCAACUUCACUCCUGAAGCCAGUGAGACCAUGAACCCACCAGAAGGAAGAAACUCCGAACAAUCUGAACAUCAGAAGGAACAAACUCUGGACACACCAUCUUUAAGAACUGUUAACACUCACUGCGAGGCUCCGUGGCUUCAUUCCUCAAGUCAGUGAGACCAAGAACCCACCAAUUUCGGACACAAUGGGAGCAGACUUCUUUAUGUUCUCAUGAUAGAUGCACUUGCUUCCUCUUCUACCCUGAUUGCAAGUUUCCCGAGGCCUUAUCAGCCCUGCAAAACUGACUGGAGCCCAAGAGCAGGGGAUACCUGAAAUCCUAGGCACUGACAGGAGAACUUCAGACUGGAGAGGAGACCAGCUCUCCUGCAUCCCGGUGCCCUUCCCUAACAGCACAAUGGAACUGGCAAAGGGGCUACAGGACAAUUCCAGGAGCUGCGUGCAUUCUUCAAAAACGUGUUGCAGGUAUCAUACUGUGGGUCCACCACAGUUGGCCAAAAUUGGCAGCACUGGACAAGUGGACCAGUCAGGAAGACCCAGACCACCCAACAGGGCUGAUCUUGCGAUGGAACCAAGUCAUGCUGAGAAGGACAACCACUCUGCUCUGUCCACUCCAGAGGCUGGACAGUCUACACAUGGCUGAAGCUUGAGGAAACUUCAAGCCCUGCCCUAGUCACACCACAAGCUGACUAGUCUAUGCACGGCUGAAGCUUGAAGAGUCUUCCUCAGAUGAGUAAAUGUGGAUAGAAGUAUUAAGUUUAGUUGCUAUCUUAGUAAUAUUACUUGUUCUGUUGCUAUGCUAUAAUUUUUGCCAGUCCCUCCUCCCAGGAAAGGACCUUUUUUGUCCAUACUUUGUGUAAACAUACCACUCCUUAUUUUUAUUUUGCUACUACCACUGCCUAUGGCAAAGAGAAAGCACCUGGAAUGGUGCCCCCACUGCACUCAUACCACAAAGUCUGGAAGAACUUUAACUAAAACUCUCCUAUAUCAUACUCAUUACAUGUGUGCCAGGGCACAUUUGGGUACCUGUGUACAUGACCAAAUAACAUAUUCAAUUUAUGACCCAGGAAAUAACAAACCAUAUAUAUGUUAUGACCCUAAGACUCCACUCACAGAAUUCUAGUUUGAGUCUCAUGCAAAAAUAAAAGAUGGGGAUCUUUUGAAUCAAAAUAAGGGUUUUUCCCUUGGCAUAGAUGCCACAUCCUUAUAUCUUAACCUCUGCCAACACACUUUCACGGUGUCCACUCACUUAAUUAUUAUCUCUGACCCUGAAGGUUACCUUAGCAGUUGUCAUACCACUGGAUGUGCACCCUCCAUUUGCUCUGCCAGAUACCUAGUGAUGAUUGGAUGCUGGAGCUGCUCAACAUGGUUACACAACCCAUUAGAGGAGGCUCUACUUACCAGAAUGCUAGCCAAACCUCACUGUAAUUGGAAAACAUGUUCCUGUAGUACUGUGAAUUUUACUAUCUUAAAGCCAAAUGAACUCAUAUGGACUACAGGAUAUCCCAUAAUGUUAGGAGUUGCUGAUCAAAAGGCAGCCAUGGAAAUCUAGCUAUUUAUUAUUAAGAAAACAAACAAAACAGCCAAUACCUCAGUUCUAGUCUUCAUGUCAUUUUAUAAAUAUUCCAACCAGAAGGUAUCUGAGCCACCUCCUCCAACCAAAAACUUAUUUGCCCAGCUAGCUGAAAACAUAACUGGCAGUUUAGGAAUUACUUCCUGUUAUGUUUGUGGAGGAACAAAUGUAGAAGACCAAUGGCCAUGGGAGGCAAAAGAAUUAAUGCCUCAAGAUAAUUUCACUCUUCCUAAAUCCACCAAUGAACCAAUAGACUCAGCCAGUGUGUGGAUACUGAAUACCUCCAUAAUUUGAAGGUACUGUAUCAUCCAUUGAGGAGAAGCAUUUACAGAUGUAGUAGGAUAAUUAACUUGCUUAGGGCAAAAAUAUUAUAAUAGAACUGAAGGAAAAUUCCAUGGAGGAGUACAAAAAAUGAUUCCUCCUUAUCUAAUUUUAACCCCUUUUCUCAGUUUCCCACCUCGCACCAUUCUUGGUAUCAGCUUGAGGAUCCAAAUUCUUGGCAAGUACCCUCUGGCCUCCAUUGCAUCUGUGGAACAUAGGCAUAUCAGAAACUGCUGCCUAAGUGGUCAGGGGCCAAUGUAUUAAAAAUAAUUAGGCCUUUCUCUUUCUUAACCCCCCUAAAGCAGGGUGAGACUUCAGGGUAUACAGUUUAUGAUGAGAAUAAAAAUGAACCAGGAGGUUAUUUUAUUUUGUUGUUAGUCUCAAAAAUAGAACAAACUUCAAAAAGGAUAUAGAUAUAUGAUACUGGAAAUGUAAUGAAUGGCCUCCUGAAAGAAUUAUUAAAUACUAUGGGCAAGCCACCUGGGCAGAAGAUGGAAUGUGGGGAUAUCAUACCCUCAUUUACAUGAUCAGCCAUGUCAUAAGGUUACAAGCUGUUCUUGAAAUUAUAACCAAGGAAACAUCAAGGGCUUUAGGUUUGGUGGCCGUGCAAGCCACACAGAGGAGAUAAACUAUUUAUCAAAAUAGGUUGGUACUAGAUUAACUCCUGGCCUCAGAAAGGACAGUAUGUGGGAAGUUCAGUUUAACAAAUGUCUGGAAAUUGAUGAUAAUGAACAACUUGUCAUAAAGAUUACUGCAAAGAUGUGAAAGCUGGCUCAUGUUCCAGUGCAAAUCAGGAAAGGCUGGUCUCCAGACUCCUUCUUCGGAGGAUGUUUUUCAUCUUUUUGUGGAUUUAAAACCAUAACAGACUGCUUUGUAGUUAUCUUAAGUGGGUGUCUAAUACUCCCUUCUCUCCUGCCUCUUUUGAUCAGAAGCAUUCAGUCAAGUAUAAAAGCAAUUGUGACAAGGCAAACCACCACCCAAAUGAUGGCUUUAAGUAAACACUAUCCUCUAUCUAGAGAAGAAAGUGUGCCAUCCCAUUGAGAAAUAGAUGAUAGUGGUGCUUUCUAUUAAAAAUUCAUUCAUAAAAAGCAUCAAAGGGGGAAAUGAAGUACAGAAUUAAAGGAAAGUUAAAACUUGCAUAAAAAUUGUUGUUAGAGUUAGAAUAAAAUAGGCCUCAAGUAGCCCCCCACCACUGAAGUAGGAGUUAAGAAAGAAUACUAACUGCUUCUCUGUGAAACGUUAUCCAUAAUCUACCCUCUGCAUAUUUUGUAAGUUCUGUUAAGUUCCUGUUUUUCUGCUGAACAACUGAAAGGUCACAAGAUAGAUAAGCACUAGCUGCAAAACAUGUUUUUCCAAAGAUGUAAGACACGUCAUAAUGUGACUGACUGCUUUUUGUUCUCACUUCUGUAAGCCUGCUUCCUGCCUCGUGUACUGCCUGCCUUAAGAUGCAUAAAAGGCACUUGCCUUGUUUGUUUGGUGCUCACACUUUUUCUGGAUGCUAGUCCACAGAGUUGGGGUACACCCUAAAUAAUAAAUCCUUCUGUGACCCGAUUGGUCUCUCUGGUUCUCUGAUUUCCCACUACAAAUGAACAAAACCUCCAAGAAAUAUGGGGCUAUUGGAAAAGACCACACCUGUGAUUGAUUGGUGUAUGGGAAAGUGUUGAGGAGAAUGAUAACAAGUUGAAAAACACACUUCAGUAUACUAUCCAGAAGAACUUCCCCAACCUAGCAAAAAAGGCCAACAUUCAAAUUCAGGAACUGGAACACCACUAAGAUACUCCUCAAGAAGAGCAACCCCAAGACAUAUAAUUGUCAGAUCCACUAAGGUUGAAAUGAAGGAAAAAGUGUUAAGGGCAGCCAGAGAGAAAGGUCGAGUUACCUAUAAAGGGAAGGGACAGCCUGUACAACUAUAAAGGGAAGGGAAGUUCUGUACAACUGUAAAGGGAAGCCUGUACAACUAACAGCAGAUCUCUCAGCAGAAACCCUAUAAGCCAGAGGAGAGUGGGGGCCAAUAUUCAACAUUCUUAAAGAAAAGCAUUUUCAACCCAGAAUUUCAUAUCCAGCCAAACUAAGCUUCACAAGUGAAGGAGAAAUAAAAUCCUUUACAGACAAGCAAAUGCUUACAGAUUUUGUCACCACUAUGCCUGCCUUUCAAGCGCUCCUGAAGGAAGCAUUAAACAUGGAAGGAAACAACCGGUACCAUGCCAAAUUGUAAAGACCGUUGAUGCUGUGGAGAAACCACGUCAACUAAUGUUCAAAAUAAGGGAUCAUAUGUUGAAAGGAUCAAAUUCAAACAUAACAGUAUUAAUCUUAAAUGUUAAUGGGCAAAAUUCUCCAAUUGAAGGACAAAGACUGGCAAAUUAUAUAGAGUCAAGACCCAUCAGUGUGCUGUGUUCAGGAGACCGAUCUCAUGUGCAAAGACACACAUGGGUUCAAAAUAAAGGGAUGGAGGAAUAUUUACCAAGCAAAUCAAAAGAAAAAAAGGGGUUGCAAUCACAGUCUCUGAGAAAAAAGACCUUAAAACACCAAAGAUCAAAAAAGACAAAGAAUGGCAUUACAUAAUGGUAAAGAGAUCAAGGCAAUGAGAAAUAUUAACUAUUCUAAAUAUACAUGCACCUAUUACAGGAGCACUCAGAUUCAUCAAAUAAGUUCUUAGAAAUCUACAAAAAUACUGAAACUCCCACAUAAUAAUAGUGGGAGACCUUAACACACCAUUGUCAAUAUUACAGAGUUCAAUGAAACAGAAAAUUAACAAGAAUACUUAACCCACGAACUCAGCUCUGGACAAAGCAGAUCUAAUAGACAUCUACAGAGCUCUCUGUCCCAAAUCAACAUAAUAUACAUUCUUCUCAGCACUACAUAGCACUUAUACUAAAAUCGACCACAUAAUUGGAAGUAAAACACUCCUCAACAAACGCAGAAGAAUUGAAAACAUAACAAGCAGUCUCUCAGACCAUAAAGCAAUCAAAUUAGAACUCAGGAUUGAGAAACUCACUCAAAACCACCAACUACAUGGAAACUGAACAACCUGUUCCUGAGUGACUACAGGGUAAAUAAAAUUAAUGCAGAAAUGAAGAAGUUCUCUGAAAUCAAUGAGAACAAAGAAACAAUUUACCAGAUUCUCUGGGACGCAACUAAUGCAGUGUUAAGGGAGAAAUUUAUACCACUAACUGCCCAUGUCAGAAAGCAAAAAAAGUCCAAAAUUGACAACUUAGUAUCAUAAUUAAAAGAAUUAGAGAAGCAAGAGCAAACACAUUCAAAAGCUACAAGAAGUAAGAAAUAGGUAAAAUCAAAGCAGGAUUGAAGAAGGUAGAGACACAAAAAACCCUUCAAAAACUCAGUGAAUACACCAGAUUUUUUCAAGAUUAACAAAAUAGACUCAUAGCUAGACUAACAAAUAAUAAAAGAAGAAUCAAAUAUACACAAUAAAAAUGAUAAAGGAGAUAUCACCACUGAUCUCACGGAAAUACAAACUACCAUCAGGGAAUACUAUAACCACCUCUACACAAAUAAACUAGAAAAUCUAAAAGAAAUUGAUAAAUUCCUGGACACAUACUCCCUCCCAAGACUAAACCAGGAAGAUGUGAAAUCCGUGAAUAGACCAAUAACAAGUUCUGAAUUUGAGGCACUCAUGAAUAGCCUACCAACUAAGAAAAGCCCAGGACCAGAUGGAUUCACUGUCAUGUUGUAACAGAUGUAUAAAGAGAAGUUAGUACUAUUCUUUCUGAAACUAUUCCAAACAAUAGAAAAAGGGGGAUUCCUCCCUAACUCAUUUUAUGAGACCAGAAUCAUCCUGAUACCCAAACCAGGAAAAGACAAAACAAUAAAAAUAUCAAGCCAAUAUACCUGAUGAACACCAAUGAAAAAUUCUCAAUAAAAUAUCAUCAAACCAAAUCCAGCAACAUAUCAAAAAGCUUAUCCGCCAUGAUCGAGUUGGCUUCAUCCUUUUGGUGCAAGCCUGGUUCAACAUACACAAAUCAAUAAAUGUAAUCUAUCACAUAAACAGAACAAAUGACAGAAACCACAUGAAUAUCUCAAUAUAUCCAGAAAAUGCCUUCAAUAAAAUUCGACAUCCCUUAAUGUAAAAAACACUCAGUAAACUUGAUAAUGAUGGAACAUAUCUCAAAAUAAUAAGAGCUAUUUAUGGCAAAUCCACAGCCAAUAUUAUACCAAAUGGGCAAAACCUGGAAGUAUUCCCUUUGAAAAAUGGCACAAGACAAGGAUGUCCUUUCUAACCACUCCUAUUUAACAUAAUAUUGGAAGUUCUCAGCACUGCAAUCAUAAAAGAGAAAGAAAUAAAAGUUAUUUAAAUAGAAAGAGAGGAAGUCAAAUUUUCUGUGUUUGCAGGUGACAUGAUCAGCCCAAUAACUCCUUAAACUGAUAAACAACUUUAGUAAAGUCUCAGGGUACAAAAGUGAUGUUCAAAAAGUACAAGCAUUCCUUUACAACUACAACAGAUAAGCAGAUAGACAAAUCCAGAAUAAACUCCCAUUCACAAUCAAUACAAAAAGAAUAAAAUACCUAAGAAUAUAGCUAACAAGGGAUGGGGAGGACCUCUUUAAGCAGAACUACAAACCACUCUUCAAGGAAAUGAGAGCGGACACAAACAAAUGGAAAAAUAUUACAUUCUCAUAGAUAGUAAGAAUCAAUAUCCUGAAAAUGGUCAUACUGCCAAAAGUAAUUUAAGAUUCAAUGCUACUCCCAUCAAACUACCAUUGGCAUUCUUCACAGAAUUAAAAAAAAACUAUUUUAUAUUUUAUUUGGAAUCAAAGAAGACCCCCAAUAGUCAAGACAAUUCAAAGCAAAAAGAACAAAGCCGGAGUCAUCAUGCUGUAUGACUUCAAACUAUACUACAAGGCUACAAAACCAAAAAGCAUGGCACGUCUAACAAUGUAGCAGAACAGAGGCCUCAAAAAUUACAACACACAUCUACAGCCAUCUGAUCUUUGACAAACCUGAUGAAAACAAGUAAUGGGGAAAUUAUCUCCUAUUCAAGAGAAUGGUACGGGAAAACUGGCUAGCUAUAUGCAGAAAACGGAAACUGAAUCCCUUCCUUACACCUAUAUAAUUAACUCAAGAUGGAUUAAACACUUAAAUGUAGCCAUCAAAACCAUAAAAAAAAAAUUAGAAGAAAGCCUAGGCAACACCAUUCAGGACAUAGGCAUGGGCAAAUACUUCAUGAAAAAAAUUCCAAAAGCAAUUGCAACAAAAGCCACAAUUGACAAAUGGAACCUAAUUAAACUAAAGAGUUUCUGCACAACAAAAGAAACUAUCAUCAGAGUGAACAGGAAACCUACAGGGUAGUAGAAAAUGUUUGUAGUCUACACAUCAGAUAAAGGUCUAAUAUCCAUAAUUUUCAAGAAACAUAAAGAAAUUUUCAAGUGAAAACAACCCCACCAAAAAGUGGGCAAAACAUAUGAUCAGAAACUUCUCAAAGGAAGACAUUUAUGCAGCCAACAAACAUAUGAAACAAAGCUCCACAUCACUGAUUAUUGGAGAAAUGCAAAUCCAAACCACAAUGAGGUACCAUCUCACAAUAGUCAGAAGGGCAAUUAUUGAAAAGCCAGGAAAUAAGAGAUACUGGUGAGGUUGUUGAGAAAUAACAUGACCCUGAGGAACCAGAAGUUAACAAAUAUAUUAAGAUUUGAACAUCUAAGCUAAUGACAAUAAAAAUAUGUCACACCAGGACAUGUAGAAUAAAGCAAAUGCAGUACUGAGACUGUUUAUAUCAACAAACACCCAUAUCAGGUAAAUAGAAAGUUUUUAAAUUCUAAAAACCUAAUGAUGCAUAGCAAAUAAUUUAAAAAGGAGAAAAACCCUAACUCAAAUGACUAAAAGUAUAAUUCUUUCUUGUAAUACAAAGAUAAAAUAAAUGCUUGAAGAUGAAUAUCUCACUUACCCUGAUGUGAUUCUUUUGCAUUGUAUGCUUAUAUAAAAAUACGGCAUAUACUCUAUAUGCACAUGAUUUCCCUGUACAGAUGAGCAGAUAGUCAUGUUUAGAAAAUUCAAACUAAUGUAAGGUAACACAAAUAGGAAUUUAGAUUUAUAUCAGAAAAGCUAUUCAAAGAUAUGUAUAUAAUUAAAAACAAGCAAGCAAAAACUCUGUAGCUGAAAAAUACAAUUGUCGUGCUAAAGAAUCUAUGAAAAUUAUUUAAUAACAAAAAAUCAAGUGGAAUAAUUAGUGAGUUUAAAGACAGACUAUUAAAAAUGUACAGUAAAAUAAGACAAAAUAAUAAAUAAUAAUAAAAUAAUAUAAUGCAUCUGUAGGAUUUAUAAUGUAGCCUCAAAAAAAACAAAUGUAAGAAUUAUUGGCCAUAAAGUAGAAGUAGACAAAGAAAUAGAGAUACAAAGUGUUUUUAGAAAGGCUGGGUGUAGUGGCUCAUGCCUGUAAUUUCAGCACUUUAAGAGGCUGGUGGCGUGUGUAUCACUUGAGGCCUGGAGUGCGAGACCAGCCUGGCCAACAUGAUGAAACCCCAUCUCUACAAAAAUACAAAAAUGAGUUUGUCAUGGUGGCAUGCACCUGUAGUCCCAGCUACUACAGAGGCUAAGGCAGAAAAUUACUUUAACCCAUGAGGUGAAGAACUAAUGACAAUACUACUCAAAUUAUUCUAAAAAAUAGAGGAGAAGAAUAUAACUUCCAAACUCAUUUUGUGUAGCCUGUAUUAUACUUAUACCAAAACCAAAGGCACAUUCAAACAAGAAAACUACAGGUUAACAUAUCUGAUAAAUUUUGAUAUGAAAAUCCUCAAUCAAAUACUAGAACACUGAAUUCAACCAUACAUUACAAAGAUCAUUCAUCAUGAUUGAGUAAAAUUUAUCUCUGUGAUGCAAGCAUAAUAUGUCACCAUAUACAAAUCAGUGUGAUGAAUCAAUCUGUUGAUAUAACAAAAUAAAAAUAUCAGUGAAAAUAUAAUUCAGAUUAAAAAUAGAUAAUCAUCAUAAUAUAAAUGUGUUUAUUUGGAAAGAUUUAAAAUUGAAAAUCCAUUAGCUAGACAAAGAAAAAACAAGAACAAAAAAUAAGUAAAGCCAUUAACCAAGUGCAAGAAAUCAUUAGAAACUAUUAUGAAUAACUAUAUACACAAACAAGUUAAAAACCCAAGGGAAAUUGAUAAAUUUCUACACUUAGAUAGCUUACUCAGAUUGAAGAAGAAAGAAUUAAUAAAAACCAGAACAGAAAAGGGCAUGAAGAGAUGGAGAGAAAGAUGGCAGAAUCAAAGGCUCACCAACAUGACCUCACCAACAUGACCUCACUCACAUUACUAACAAUUGUAAAAGUAGAAUAAAAUAAAAUAAAGUAAAAUAAAGUAUGAAUGAUAUCAACAUUGAUUCAUCUCACUGAUUGAUUUGUAUAUGGUGAUUAUACGAUAAUUCCAUUGAUACCAAAAAUGCAUUUCAUUACAUUCAACAUCUCUUCAACAUAAAAACCUCAGACACUGGGGAGAGAAAAACGUACCUCAAUAAAACCACAUAAGCCUACAGGUAUUAUUAUGCUUAGUAGGGAAACACUGAAAGCCUUUUAUCUAAGAUCUAGUAUAUGACAAGAAUACCCACUGUGGCCCACUUUUAUUCAACAUAAUAUUGGAAGUCCUAGUUAGAGCAAUGAGACAAGAGAAAGAUACAAAAGUUUCUAAAUUGGAAAGAAAUAAGUCAAAUUAUCCUUGCUUACAGAUUAUAUAAUCUCACAUUUGGAAAAACCUAAAGACUCUUAUUGGAAUGAAUAAACAAAUUUAGUAAAGGUGCAGUAUACAAAAUUAACAUACAAAAUUAGUAGCAUAUCUAUAUGCCAACAGGAAACAAUGUGAAAAUAAAAUUUAAAAAGUAAUUGCAUUUGCAAUAGCCACACAGAAAAUUAAAUACUUAGGGAUUAACUUUACCAAAGAAGUGAAAUAUCUCUGUAAUAAAAACUAAAACACUGAUGAAAUAAACUGAAAAAAACACCAAAAUAACUGAAAAAUAUUACACAUUCAAAAACUGGAAGACUCAAUAUUGCUAAAAAGUCAAUACUACCCAAAGCAAUCUACAGAUUCAAUACAUUCUCUCUCAAAACACCAAUGAUAUUCUUAAAAGAAAUAUUAAAAAUUAAUUAUAAAAUGUAUAUAAAACCACAAAAAACCCAGAAUAGCUAUUCUAUACAAAAAUUUAAAAAAAAAAUCACAUUAUGACUUUGAUUUAUACUACAGAGCUAUGGUAACCAAAACAACAUGAUACUAACAUAAAAAUAGACACAUAGACCAAUGGAACAGAAUAGAGAACCAAGAAACAAAUCUAUGCUCCUACAGAAAACACAUUUUCAACAAUGGUGUGAAGAACAUAUACUGGGGAAAGAGACAGUUUUUUUUUAAAUAAAUGUUGCUCAAUUAACUGGAUAUCCAUAUGCAGAAAAAUGAAACUAGACACCUAUCUCUCACCAUGUACAAAAAUCAAAUCAUAAUGAAUUAAAAUUUAACCUAUGACCUUAAACUCUUAAACUACAACAAAAUAAACUUUGUGGACAAACUCUGGAACAUGGGUCUCAGGAAAAAUUAUGUGUUUAAUACUUCAUAAGCACAAAAAGGCAACCAAAGCAAAAAUAAACAAAUGUUAUCACAUCAAGUUAAAAGCUUCUGCUCAGAAAAAAAAGGAAGAGGGAAGGGGAUAACCCAUGAAACCUGAAAGAAUAUUUGCACACUACCCACCUGACAAAAGAUUUGUAACCAAAAUAUAUAAAGUGCUGAGACAAAGAUAUAGGAAAAAAAAAAAUCUAAUAACCUGACUAAAGAAUGGGCAAAAUAUUUGAAUAGGCAUUUCUCAAGAGUAAACAUAUGAGUAGCAAAUAGACAUAUAAAAAGUUGCUAACCUUCACUGAUCAUCAGAGAAAUGCAAAUAAAAGCUACAAUGAGAUAUUAUAUCACUCCAGUUAAAACGGCUGAUACAAAAAGAAAAAAAACAGGCAGUAACAAAUGCUGACAGUAAUGUGGAGAAAUGUGAACACUUGUACACUCUUGCUGGGAAUGUAAAGUAGUACAGACACUAUGGAGAACAUUUGGGAGAUUUUUUAAAAAGCUAAAAAUCGAGCUGUUGUAUGAUCUAACAAUCUCACUCCUGGUUAUAUACCCCAAAGCAAGAAAAUUCAUAUUAUCAAAAAGACAUAUGCACACCUGUGUUUGUUACAACAUUGUUUACAAUCACUAAGAUUUGGAGGCAGCCUAAGUAUUCAUCAAAAGAUGAGUGAGUAAAAAAGUGGUACAUAUACACAAUGGAGUACUAAUACUAAUAAGCCAUAAAAUAUAGCAUGCUUUCAUUUGCAACAACAUAGAUGGAUGUCAUAUUAUUAUUUUAAGUAAAAUACAGCAGGAACAGAAAGGCAAAACAUUACACAUUUUCUUUAUUUGUGAAACCUAAUAAAGCAAUUGAACUUAUGAACAUAGUGAGUAGAGGGCUGUUUACCAGAGGCUGGAAAGAAUAAUAGGAAGCUGAUCAGGAGGUGGAGAUGUUUAAGCCAUAAAAAGAAAAUAGAAAAAAUUAAUAAGACCUACUCUUUGAUAGCACACAAAGUGAUUAUAGCCAAUAAUAGCUGUGCAUUUAAAAGUAACAAAAGAGAGUAAAUGGGUUGUUUGCUACUCAAUGAAUAAAAUGCUUGGCAUAAUGUAUAAUCUAGUCUUCAUGAUAAAAUUAUUUCAAAUUUAAUGUCUAUUUCAAAAUAGCUCAGAUAUUCCAUAAAUGUAUACCCCAACUAUGUACCUACAAAAAUUAAAAAGAAAAUAAAAAUUAUAAAAAUAAAAUAAUUUUAAUCUAAAAUAAAAAAUAAAUAAAACUUGAACAUACCAAAAAUUAAUUUAAAUAGUAAGUUAUUAUAUAAGUAUCUCAACAAAAUAAAUCUGAAGGCUUUAGUGAUAAAUGGCUUUAGUGAUAAAUUUUACCAAACAUUAGUACAGAAUUCAUAUAAAUCAUUGGGUUAUUCCAAAAAAUAAAGACUGUUUCCUAAAUAAUUCUAUGUGGCUAGAAUUAUCCUAAUACCAAAAUGAAACAAAGACAUAAUAAAAGAUAAAACUUCAAGUCAGUAUCUUUAAUGAACACUGAUGCAAACUCCUCAAUAAAAUAUUAUCAAAACAAAAAAUAAGAUAAUAUAACAUGGUAAACUGGUAUUUUUCACAGGAAUGUAAACAAAAUUCAACAUAGAGAUAUUGUAAAAUGUGAUACAUCACAUCAGCAGAAUAAUCAUCAUAACAAUACAAUAAUCUCAAUAUAUGUAGUACAUUGAGCUCAUAUCUUAAAGCAUUUGAUGAAAUUCAACAUAUUUUCAUAAGAAAUAUUUCCAAAAAUUUAGUAUGUAACAUACAUCAACCUAAUAAAAACUACAUAUGAUAAACCCACAUUUCAGUAAAGGGGGAAAGGUUAAUUUUUUUUUGACUUCUCUAGUAACUCCAAUAAGACAAGGUUGCCUACUUUCAUCACUUGUUCAACACAGUAUUGAAAGUAUUCGCCAGAGGACUUAGGAAAUAGAAAUAAAUAUGGAACAUUUAAAUUAGAAAAGGGAAACUUAAAUUACCUCUCUUUGCAGAUGACAUAAUUCUAUACAGUUAAACAAUUAAACUAAAUACUCUACCAAAGAAACCAUUACAACUGAUAGACAAAUUUAGUAAACAUACAGGAUAUAAAAUCAACAUAUAAAAAUUGGCCAUGUUUCUAUAUACCAACAGCAUUCAAUUUGAAAACAAUAAAUAAAUCGUAGCAAGAAAUCAAUUCAAACAAAAAGAUAAAAAAAAUUCUGAAAUAAACACCACAAAAUGCUAACAAAAGAAAUUAAAAGGACACAAAUAUGAAAUACAUGGGAUUAUAGUUUGUGAAAAAUGUUAAAAUAAUUAUAUUAUCCAAAACAAUUUAUAGAUCAAAUUAAAUCUCUGUCAAAAUAACAAGAUUUUUAUAUAAGUAGAUAAAACAAUCAUUAAAUUUUAAUGGCACCACAGAAGAACCUGAAUAUCAAAAAAUCUACUGAGCAGAAAUACAAAGCUGGAUGAAUCACAGUAUCUGACUUUAAAAUUGACAAAAAAGCUGUAGUUACCAAAACAGCAUGACAUAGGUGUAAGUACAGACAUAUAGACAAUUGAGGGAGAACAGAGAAAUAAAAUAAAUAAAUUCGCACAUUCUCAACUUAGAUUAUUCAACAUGGCCUGAAAAACAUUCUUUGGAUGAAAGAAUAGUGUGUUUAAUAAAUUGUGUUGGAAAUACUGAAUAUGCAGAGAAAUAAAAUUCUUACUUUUUUAAAAGGCUUACAUUUCACCCUUUAUGCAAAAAUCAACUAAACAUGGAUUAAAGACUUAAACAAAACUGGCUUGGAGCGGUGGCUCAUGCCUAUACUCCCAGCACUUUGGGAAACUGAGGUGGGUGGAUCACCUGAGGUUGGGAGUUCAAGACCAGCCUGACCAACAUGAUGAAACCCCAUCUCUACUAAAAAAAUUAAAAAAACAAAAAUAAUUAGCCAGGUGUGGUGGCAGGUGCCUGUAGUCUCAGCUACUCAGGAGGCUGAGGCAGGAGAAUGGCAUGAACCCGGGAGGUGGAGCUUGCAAUGAGCCGAGAUGGCACAACUGCACUCCAGCCUGGGCAACAGAGCAAGACUCCAUCUCAAAAAAUAAAUAAAUAAAUAAAAAAGAAAAGACUUUAAACAUAAGUUUCUGAUCUAUAAAACUACCACAAAAAUAGAAGAAACACCUCAAGACAUUAGUUUAGUCAAAUGUUUCAUGAAUAAGACUUUAAAAGCAGAAGCAGCAAAAUGAAAAAUCAAUGCACUUCACCACAUUGUACUGCAAAGUAUUUUCAUAGAAAAUAGAACAAUAAAUUAAGAAAUUUGCUAUUGGACUAAUAUCCAGAAUAUACUAGAAACUCAUUAGCAAAAAACAAAACAAAUUGAUUUUUAAAAAAUGGACAAAGAGGCCACGCAUGAUGGUUCACUCCUGUAAUCCCAGCACUUUGGGAGACCGAGGCAGGUCAGGAGUUCAAUACCAACCUGCCCAAGAUAGUGAAACUCCGUUUCUAUUAAAAAUACAAAAAUUAGCUGGUCAUGGUGGUGGGUGCCUGUAAUCCCAGCUACUAGUGAGGCUGAAGCAGAGAAUUGCUUGAACCUGGGAUGCGGAGGUUGCAGUGAGGCAAGGUCAUGUCACAGCACUCCAGCCUGGGUGACAGAGAGAGACUUGGUCUCAAAAAAAAAAAAAAAAAAAAUUGACAAAGAAUCUGAUUAGGCAAUUCUCAAAAGAAGAAAUGCACGUUCUCCUCAAAAGCGGAUAUACGAAUACUCCCAUUAAUAUCAGAAGUGUUAUGCUUAUCACCAUAAAAUAUAAAUUAAGACAAAAGUGAGAUAUUUUCUCACUUUAGUGAAAAUAGCUAUCAGUAAAAAGAUUAAAAAAUUGUCGAAUGACCAUGAGGUUGUGGACAGAAAGAAAUAUUUAUACUGCAGGUGAGAGUGUAAAUUAGCACUGUUCUUAUAUUUUUUAAGUGUUGAGUGUUUACAAAAUACUAAAAUUACAACCGCCAUAUGAUUCAGAGAUCCCACUACUGAGUAUUUAUUCAAGGUAACGAAAAUCAGUUUACAAAAGAAAAAAAAAUCUGUUUUUACAUGCUUAUUGCAGCUCUAUUUACAAUAGCCAGGAUAAAAAAAAUCAACUACAAAUUUUAUCAACAUGAGUACAUAAAAAUGUGGUAUAUUUACACAAUAGUUAAUUAUUUGGUCAUAUAUAGAACAAAAUGAUGACGUUUGUGCCAACAUGGAGGACACCAUAAGAUGUUAUGCUAUGUGAAAUAAGCCAGUCACAGAAAUAAAAAAACUGCAUUAUGUCACUCACAUUUGAGAGCUUGAUAAAGGUUGAUUUUAUAAAAGUAUUGAGUACAAUAGUGGUUAACAAAAUAUAUGAAGUGGAAAGGAAGGAAAGAAAGUAGUUGUCUUAUUUGUUAUAAAUUUAGAAUUUGACAAUAAAAAUAAUUUCUAGUGUUCUAUCACAUAGUCCUUGAUUAUGAUAAACAAUAAAGUUCUAUAUAUUUCAAAAUAGCAAAAAAAGUGAGUUUUGAAUAUUCUCACCACAAGAAAAUAACACAUAAUUAAGUUAAUGGAUAUAUUAAUUACCCUGAUUUAAUCAUCACAUAAUUACAUAUAUUAAAACAUCACAUUUUUAACCUAUACAUGUAGAAAAUUAUGUGCCAAUUUAAACAAAAUAAAACUUUACUUUCAUUAUCAUAUGUUGUCUAUAUUUACCCAAUGUUGCUGCAAAUUACAGGAUUUUAUUUUUCCUCUGACUAAUAUUCCAUUCUAAUAAUGAAAAUAUUUAUUCUAGUAUUUAUAUACAACCUUAUAUAUAAGAGAGAGACACUCAAAGUACCUGGUUUUAACUUUGUAUCACAGAGCCACUGAAGAGGUCUCAAAUUACUGGUGUCAUUCCUCCAUCACUCUAUGGCAGUAUGGUAUGCUGAAGGAAUAUCUCUGUGUGCUGGGGAAGAGAAAACAGGAAUUUUGAAGCAAUAAACUGAGUGCUGUCCUGUUAGAGCAAAAAGGAAAAAAAUGAACCAAACUCAGCAGAUGCUAAGUCAUAAAGGGAGCAUUUAAUCCAGCCCAAGUUAGAGGGGAAUUGGCAAUUCCAGCAGUACAAACUGGAGUUUUUACCUACCUCACUACUGAGGGUUAAAAUGCUCUGGGUUUCUAAGUAAACCUGAAAGGCAGUCUUCAAGGACUUUUAUAAGGACCACAACUCUUAUGCAAAUUCUAGUGUUGAACUAAGCUCAGAGACAGUGGACUGGGGAAUCAAGAUCUACCGAAACCCCCAGCUGGAGUGGUUAAGAGAGUGAGGGCAUCAUUGCUCUCCUAAUCACAGGCUGCACAGCUAAUAGAUAAAAAAGAGAUCUCUGCCAGGCGCAGUGGCUCAUGCCUGUAAUCCUGGCACUUUGGGAGGCCAAGGCAUGCGGAUCAUGAGAUCAGGAGUUUGAGCUAUCCUGGCUAACACGGUGAAACCCUGUCUCUACUAAAAAUACAAAAAAUUAGCCAGGCGUGGUGUCAUGCACCUGUAGUCCCUGCUACUUGGGAUGCUGAAUCAGGAGAAUCUCUUGAACUGGAAGGCAGGGGUUGCAGUAAGCCGAGAUUGCCUGCAUUCCACCCAGGGUGACAGAGCAAGACUCUGUCUCAAAAAAAAAAAAAAAAAAGAGAGAGAGAGUGAGAGAGACAGCUUUCUUCCAAUUCGAAAGAGAAGAGAGAAGAAUAUGGAUAACUUUGUUUUCCAUCUUGUAUACCAGCUCAGCUCAGCCACAACAGGAUAGGGAACUGGUCAGAGUCAUGAGGUUUCUUUUUUAGGACCUAGCUUCUGAAUAACAUCUCUAGCUAUGUUGGACCAUAAAAGACAUGCUGCCUUUUAGGAAAGCACCAAGUUAUGGCCACAUUCAUCAGAUGUUAACUGAGGAGCCCUUGGGCUCUAAAUAACCAUCAAUAGGUACAGCAUCAGAGGUGUUGGGUGAGCCUCUGAGACUAAGUGGCUUCAGGUGACACACAGCAAAUUCCACAUGACAUCUAUGGGGCAAAAUUCCUUCUGUGUGAUAAAAAGCAAAGGGAAAUGUAAAGAAGACAUUUUUCUUGCAGCUUAGGUGCCAGCUAGGCGACAGCAGGGUAUAGCACCAAGCAAAUUAUUGAGUAAUUCUAUUCUAUGACUCUUGAAGGUCAUUUCUAGACUUUCUCUGGAUCACAAGGGAGCCUUCUGAUCAGAAACCUGAGUCUCAGGCCUGGAAGCGACAAUUACAAGAUGGCCUAAGAGCCCUUGAGCCUUCAGGGAACAUUGGUAGUAGUGCAGAAAUACUUCCUGAAACCUGGGGUCAUGGUGAUCAUAGAAUGAGAAUCCUCUGCCUCUUAUAAAAAGGAAGAAAGACUUAGGAGAAUUGCAUCCUGUGUUUUAAGUGCCAGCUCAACCUCAGUGUAACAGAACACAAGUUAGGCUUCUAAAAUUUUGACUCUAGUUUCUAACUACAAAAUAAUAACAACUGGGGCCUGGGAGAUCUUGACAGCCUGAUGGGAAGAACAUAUACCUGACUGGCUUCAGCAUUUGCUGACUGUAGAGUCCAAAGAUCUUGAGUGAAAAUAGGCAGUAGUCAAGAAGUGCUUACAGAAGGCUUUGGUUGAGACUCAGUGCUUUGCUUGCUUCAGGGUUAAGUCCACAUAGUCAUAGUGAUAGAGGCCACAUGAAUGAUGCUGUUACUCUACCCAAGCUUCAGGAGGUUCAAAACAGAGAAUGAGAUUCUCUUUGAGAGAAGUUAUAAAAACAGAAUGAGAAUAAUACAAUGAUUUUUUGCAGCAACACGAAUGUAGCUAGAGGUCAUUAUUCUGAGUGAAGUCCAUAGGAGUGGGACACAUGAAUUCACUCUGUAUGCCUUUGAAUACUCGUAGCUUAGGUCCCACUUAUAAGUGAAAACAAUUAAGAGUGGGAUCUAAGCUACGAGUAUGCAAAGGCAUACAGAGAAACAAAAUGGAAUUUAGAGACUCAGAAGGUGAAGGUUGAAAGGGGAUUCAGGGAUUUUUCACAAAACUACAUACUAGGUAAAAUAUACACUACUUGGGUAUAUCUAGCUACUUGGCUACUUGGGUGUUGGAGACACUAAAAUAUUAGAAUUCAUCACUAUAUACUUAUUCAGUUAACUAAAAAACACAUAUCUCCCAAAGUAUUGAAAUAAAAUAUAAAUACAUUCAAAUAAAAUAAACUAACAUCCUAAAUUAUUAAUGGGUCAAAAAGUGAGAAUAAAGUGGAAAUUUUCUCAAAUCAAAUGAUAGUGGAAACAUAUUAUACCCAAACUUAUGAAAUACAGCAAAAUAAAUACUAAAAGGAAGGCUUGUAGGUAUGCAUUUAUAUAUGAAUAAAGGGGAAAAACUUCAAAUAAACAACCUAACAAUGUAUCUUAAAGAACUAGAACACCAAGAGAAAACCAACCCCUAAAUUAGUAGAAAAAAAGAAAUACCAAAGAUCACAGCAUAAACAAAUAAAAUUGAAAUAGAGAAGACAAUAGAAAAGAUUACUUUUUAAAAGUUUUUUUUGCAUAGUAAAUAAAAUUGAUAAAUUUAGCCAGACUAAGAAAAUAAGAGAUAAUAGCAAAAAAUUAAAAAUAAAAAGUGAAAAAAGACAUUAUAACAGAUAUUGCAGAAAUUCAAGGUAUUAUUAGGUCUACUAUGAGCAACAAUAUGCCAAUAAAUUGAAAAUUCUAGAAAGAAUGGACAAAUUUCAUGACUUACAGAAUCCAUCAAGUUUGAACCAGGAAGAAAUUCAAAACCGGAAUAGACCAAUAACAAGUAAUGAGAUAAAAACCAUAAUGUAAAUAUGUCUGUAAAGAAAAGCACAGUAAAGUACAGCCUUCAAUGCUAUAAUCUACCAAACUUUUAAAGAAAAACUAAUAUUAAUUCUACUCAAAUUAUUCUGAGGAAUAGUGGAGAAUGGAAUUACUCCAACUAAUUAGAUAAAGCCAAUAUUACCCUGAUACCCAAACCAGACAAAGACACAUCUAGAAAAUAAUACCACAGGCCAAUAUCUCUGAUGGCUAUUGAAGCAGUAACCCUCAAUAAAAUACUAGCAAACAAAAUUCAACAAUAUAUUAAGAGCAUCAUAUAUCAUGACCAAGUGGGAUUUAUUCCUGGAAUAAAAACAUGAUUUAAUGUAUGCAAAUCAAACAGUCUGCUAUAUCAUUUCAAUAAAAGAAAGGAUAAAUUUUAUAUAAUUUCAAUUGAUGGUGAUAAAGCAAUUGGUUAAAUUCAACAUCCUUCAAGACAAAAAUCCUCAAAAAACAGCAGAAAAAAGAAACAUACCUCAACAUAAUAAAAACCUUAUAUGACAGACUAAAAAAUAUUCAGUAUUGUACUGAAUGGGGAAAAACUGAACAUAUUUUAUCUAUAAUCUACAAUACAACAAAGUUGCCCACUGUGACCACUAUUAUUCAACGUAGUACUGGAAGUUCUAUCUAGAGAGAUCAGACAAGAGAAAUAUAUGAAAGACAUUUAAGUGGGAAGAGAAUAAUUCAAAUUAUUCUACUUUGCAGGUGAUAUAAUCUCAUAUUAGAAAAAAAACUUAAGGACACCACAAGAAAACUAUUAGAGCUGAUAAACAAAUUGGGUAGAGUUGUAGUAUAUAAAAUUAACAGACACAAAUCUGAAACAGUAAACAAUCUGAAAAAGAAAUAAGAAAUCAUCUUAUUUUCAAUAGUCACACAUAAAAUUAAAUACUUAGAAAUUAACCAAAGAAGUGAAAGAUCUGAAUAAUGAAAAUAGUUGAAGAUGACACUACAAAAUGGUAAAACAUAUUAUGUUCAGGAAUUGUAAGACAAUAUUGUUAAAAUGUCCAUACUACCCAGAGCAAUCUACAGAUUCAAUGUAAUUCCUAACAUAAUACCAAUAAUAUUUUUGAAAUAAAUGAAAAAAUAAUUUUAAAUUUUACAUGGAACCACAAGAGACUCAGAAUAGCUAAACCUGUCCUUAGAAAAAAGAACAAAAUUAGAUAAAUCAAAUUAUCUGACCUCAAAUUAGAGUCCUGAGCCACAGUAAGUAAAACAGCCUUAAAUAGCCAGUUUACUAGCAUAAAAUAGAAACACAGAAAAAUGAAAAUGAAUAGAGAACCUGAAAAAAAUCCACACAGCUACAGUAAACUAAUUUGGACAAAUGUGCCAAGAACAUCCACUGAGGAAAACAUACACCCUAUUAAAUGAAGAUGCCAAGAAAUCUGGGCUUCCAUAUGUGCAAUAAUAAAAAUGAGACUUCUACUUUUGGCCAUAUAUAAAAACUGAAUCAAAGUGAAUUAAAGCCUUAAGUCUACAACCUGAAACUCUGAAAUUACAAAAAAAAGACUUGGGAAAAUCUCCAGGUUAUUAAUAUGAAAAAAAUAUUGCUUUUUUUUGAGAUAGGUUGUCACCCAUGCUGAUGUACAGUGGCAAGAUCAAAGCCCACGGCAAUCACCAUCUCUAAGGCUAAAGCAAUCUCCUGUCACAGCCUUUGAGAAGCUGGGACUACUGGCACAUAUCACCACAUACCAUGGAAAUUUUUGUGUGUGUGUGUUCACUUUUGUAGAGAUGGGGUUACAUCAUGUCCUCAGGUUGGUUUUGAAUUCUUGUGCUCAAGAAAUCCAUAUAAGUUAGCCUUGCAAAGAGCUAGUAUUAUAGGUAUAAGCCACCCUGCCUGACCAAAGAUUUCCUCAGCAAUUCCCCAGAAGCACAAGCAACCUAACCAGAAAUGGACGUCUGGAAUCAACAUGCAGUUGAAAAGUUUCUGCAGGGGAAAAAUUUAAAAAUCAACAAUGUGUAGAGAUUAUUCACAGAAAUAGAAGAAAUAUUUGUAACUUACCCAUCUGACAAAGGAUUAAUAAUCACAAUAAAUAAAAAUCUCAAACAAUCUAUAGGAAAAAAUUUAUAGGAAAAUCUUAUAAUUUGGUCAAAAUAUUUGAAAAACAUAUUUCUCAAAGGAAAACAUACAAAUGUGACCAGGUAUAUCAAAAAGUGCUCAAGAUCAUUAAUUAUCAGAAAAAUCCAAAUUAAAAUUACAAUAAGAUAUCAUCUCAAUCUAGUUAAAAUGGGUUUUAUUCAAAAGACUUUCAAUAACAAAUUCUGCUGAGAAUUUGAAGAGUGUGAAAUGUGCUCACAUUCAAGGAGCAGUGUCCCAAAGUUGUGCAGAGCUGAAAGUCCUUGAAUAUGGUCCAUGAAACAACCAUUUAUCUUUGCUAAGCUUCUGUGUCUGUGGUAAAAGAGGCUCUCUGAAAUAUCUUAGAGGUUUUUUCCCCAUUGUCUUGGAUACUAACACUUAGCUCCUUUUUGCUUUACUGCAGCAUCUUAAAUUUCUUCUCUGAAAAAGAGCUUUGCUUUUCUACCACUUUGCAGGCUGCAAGUUUUCCAAACUUUUAUGCUGUAUUACUUUUUUUAACAUAAGUUUCAGUUUCAUGUCAUCUGUUUGCUCAUGCAUAUGAGCUUAGGUUGUUAGAAGCAUCCAGGUGACAUCUGGAGCACUUUCUGCUUAGAAAUUUUUUUCACCACAUACCCUAAAUUUUUCCACCACAGACUCUAAGUCACCAUACUCAACUUCAGAGUUCCACAUAUCCCUAGGGCAGGGGUACAAUGCAUUAUCAAGGGUACCUUGCUAAUGUGUAACAAAUAUGACAUUUGCUCUGCUUCCCAAUAAGCUCCUUAUUUCCAUGCAUGAUCUCCUCAGUGUCUACUUCAUUUUCCCUAUCACUAUCAGCACAUUGGUCACAACAAUUUAGUAACACUCUAGGAAGUCCCAAACUUUUCCUUAUCAUCUUCUGAGACCUCCACACUCUUCUAACCUAUGUUAGUUAUUUAAUUCCUAUGUGGCUUCCAUAUUUUCAGGUAGCUUCAUAGCAAUACCCUACUGCUCCAUACCAAUACUCUGUAUAUAGUCUGUUUUCCCAGCAAUACAGAGUUUUGGUAUUAUCUUAGACACAUUUAAGAAUAAUGCCCACUAGUUUCUACAUUUCCUCUCAUAAAUUUUAACUUUUAACUGAAAUGGUAAUGAUCUAUAUAAUUUAUAUAUCCUAUAUAAUGAUAUAUUUACAUUGUAUCAUUUUAAAGCAUACACUUGGGGGUUUUUAAUUGUUUCACAAUGUUUUUUCACUGCAAUUACUAAUUUAAAAAUAUUUUUAUUACCCUGAUACAAAAUUUUCCUACAAACAGGCUGAGGGCAGCAGGAUGGAAGCCUGCAAAUGUUCUGACCAGGCUGCACCACAGCAGAGCGAAAAGCACCUGGAUAGCCUGAUGGGCAAAAUUGCCUUUCUGAAGAAAUUUCACUAAGAGGAGAUCCAUCCACUUGCAGGGGCAGAUCCAGUAUGUGCAGAUCUCCAUAGAGAUAAACAUGUUCACCAAUCUCAACCUCACCUCUUUGCUGGAGGUCAUCUGCCCACAGUAGGGAAAGAUGGCUGCCAAGAGCAUGCAGAGCAUGCAGAGGAGUGCUUUAAGAGCCCUUUAGACUGCUGAGCCAGAGCACUGUCAAGAGGGUCUAUGCCAUGCAAGGCACCAGAAACAAGGUGUCUCAGAGCCACUACCUGCUCAAGACCAAGAACUUGGAGAUCAAAGCAUGCUAGGGCAUGAAGGAAGUAAUGGAGAUAUAGCUGCAGGAGCCAAAGGACAAGUUGAACACCUACAUCAGUAGUGUGCAGGCCAUCAUCCACAAAUUAGAAAAUGAAUUGAAGAUGGCAAAGUUAAACAUCUGGAUACCUAAAUGAAUACCAAGUCCUCCAGGUGAAGAUGGCUCUUUGUAUUGAGGCUGCAGCUCAGAGGAAACCCUUCAAAGGCAAGGAGACCCAGCUGAGUUUCAGCAGCAUGGGAAGCACACUGCUUCCAGACCCCCUGGUCUUUGGUUUAUCACCUACUGGGGUUCACAUACCAACUCCUACAUGAUGUCCACCCACUCCUUCCUGUCCUACUACAGUAGCCAUGUGCAAGAGGAGUAGAUCAUGGUGGAGGAAUCCAUUGAGAGUGCUAAGAUUGAGGAAGGCAAAGACUAGUACCCCUCUGAAGAAAAAGCCUAGGAGGAGAAAGAUAAUAAAGAGGAGGAGGAAGAGGUGGCAGGGAAGAGGACUAAGCUGCUAAGGAAGUGUCUAAAGAAGCAAAGGAUAAAGAAGAAAUAGGUCAGGGUGAAGAAGGAGAGGAAAAGCUGAAGAGGAGGAAAAUAAAGUUGAAGGUGCUGGGGAAGAACAAGCAGGAUCGAGGACAUCAAGAUAUGAUGAUCUUACAAAUGGAACUCCAAAUGAGCUCAAGUAACAACUUCUACCAAGGACCCUUGGACCUACUCACUGGCCCUUUGAUUGGACUAAAGAGUUCCCCUCUGGACGACACUACAACUGCAGGGCCCCUUCUUGCCCCUAUCCUAUCUAGAGUGGUCACCACCCAAUUCCCAACAGCAGCUGGGGUUUCCUGUUUAGACAGGGCAUUGAGAAGUGAAGUCAGCUGGACUUCCUGGGUCAAGUGGGGACUUGGAGAAUUUUCUGUCCAGUUAGAGGAUUGUAAACACAGCAAUCAGCACUCUAUAAAAAUGCACCAAUCAGCACUUUGUGUUUAGCUAAAGGAGAGCAAACUCAGCAUUCAGCCCUCUGUUAAAUAGACCAAUCAGUAGGACAUCGGCAGGGAAAAAUAAUGGAAUAAAAGCUGGCCACCCCAGCCAGCAGCAGCAACCCACUUUGCCCCCUUUCACGCUGUGGAAGCUUUGUUCUUUCACUCUUCACAAUACAUCUUGCUGCUGCUCACUCUUUGAGUCUGCAUUACCUUUAUGAGCUGUAACAUUCACUGCGACGGUCUGCGGCUUCAUUCCUGAGGUCAGCAAGACAAUGAACACACCAGGAGGAACAAAAAUUCCAGACAUGCCAACUUUAGCAGCUGUUAACACUCACCAUGAGGGUCUGCAACUUCAUUCCUGAAGUCAUUGAGACCACAAACCCACUAGAAGGAACAAACUCUGGAUAGGCCACAUUUAAGAGCUGUAACACUCACCACGAGGUCCGUGGCUUUAUUCUUGAAGUCAGUGAGAUCAAGAACCCACAAGAAGGAAUAAAUUCCAGACACACUGGGGCCUGCUGCCUUUGCACCUGUUGUUGUUUAAGACUUCUCACUUGUUCCCACAGUUCUACAUUUAGCAUUCCUUCUUCUGGGAACCAUGGGCUUGGGAUCACAACAGUUUGCAUUAUGUCCCUUAAUGAGUCUGCAAAACUGAUGUUAUGGUAGCCUUAAGCAACUAUUUCAACACUUUUAUAUAUUGUUUCUGUUGAGCUGGUAACUGUGUCCCAUGAUGAAAUCUCAGCUUGACUCAACUUCCCCAAGAACUUGGUAACCUUGAGUGAGCAACAAUGACUUACUGAUUAAUUACUCACUUGCUUGACCACAUGGUUCCUUUUUUCACCUUUGUUUUUAAGGGAUCUAUUGCAUUUACUUCAUGCUUCCUUCACAGCUUUCCUCAUGAGAACAGUCCCCACACUUCUUUUGCAGCUUGCCACAAGUGCAAGUGGGGCUCCAAGUGUGGGGGUUUGUUUUUGCAGACCCCUGACACAGGUCCUCACGCAGGUCCCCAUUUGAGGCAGUGCUCCUUUUGCAGAGACACUAGAUGCAGGGAGUCUGUUCCUGCAGACCUCUGAUUUGGCAACAGAAGAAUAAACGUACACUGACACACAGAUAUUCUGCUCUGCCAGUCUAGCUGAAGGCCCAAGCCACUUACAGGCUCCAAGCUGCGUUCUGUAAACGGUUGUGACUCGGCCCUGAUCUGCAGGUAAAGGUCACAUUUAUUCAGUAAGGCGAAUUAACAAAAAUUGUGAGUAAACACCGCUAGAAGAUAAAGAUUAAAAGCUAGGUUCUGAGGCCUAAAGCAAACACCAUUUGUGGGUAAUAAACUUCUGCCGACCCCCUGAGUUGGAGGCAGUAAAGUACUUGAGGUAGGACAAAGGUUAGUCAUAAGCCCAUAUAACUAAACAGGUUAGUAAAAUAAGCUUUCCACAUUCAUUGGUACUGCACCCUAAUCUUUCUGGCUCUUGCAAAGAGACCCUGGCUGCCUUCAGCUGAGCAUUCUGAAGGUAUGCAAACUCUCAGGCCUUUGAAGACAGUUUUUGACUAUUACUAUAACUAUCUUUAAUAUUUUCCCUAUCAACCUAAUUGAACCCCAUCAAUGAAAAAGCAUUUGGGAAAAUUUAACAUUGCUUCAUGAUAAAAACUGUCAAGAGUUAUGUUUAAAAAAUUCAUCUGAACACAGUGAAAAUUAUAUAUGACAAAUUUACAGCUAACAUCAUACUGAAUGGGAAAAAGUUGCAAGCUUUUGCUAAGGUCUGAAAGAAGUCAAGAGAGGGCAUUUUCAUUACAUCUAUUCAACAUAAUACUAGAAGUCUGAGCCACAGCAGUUAUGUAAAUGAGAGAAAAUACUAGGGAUAUCUGGAUAGAAGGGAAGAAGCUACACAUCCCUUGUAUGCAGAUAACUUCAUCUUACAUAGAAAACCAUAAAUAAUCCAUUUAAAAAACUAUUAGAACUAAUAAACAAAUUCAGUAAAUAUGUAGAGUACAAAAUUCACAUGAAAAAUAGGCAGGCAGAUCAUGAAUUCAGAAGUUUCAGCCCAGCCUGGUGAAACCCCAUCUCUACUAAAAAUACAAAAAUUAUGUGGGUGUGGUGGCACACACCUGUAAUCCCAGCUACUCAGGAGGCUGAGGUAGGAGAAUCGUUUGAUCUGGGAAGCAGAGGUUGCCGUGAGCCAAGGUUGCAUCACUGCACUCCAGCCUGGGUGACAGAGUAAGACUCCAUCUCCAAAACAAAAGGAAAAAAAAGAAAAAAACUUAGUAUCCAGAACAAAUAAGAAACAAUAGCCAAAAAUUUUCUAAUUAAAAAUGUUCAAAAGAUGUAAAUAGACAUUUCUCCAAAAAUGACACAGAUACUUCCAACACAUUUCUAAAUAAAAGUUCAACAUAAUUUUUAUUGGAGAAAUGCCAGGAAAACCCAUAAGAAAAUAUGACAAGUCCUUUCAGCUCAGUGAAUCUAUUAGAAUAAUAAUGGAUAUAACUAAAAAUUGCAAAAGAAUAACAAGUAUUGCCAGGGAUGUGGAGAAAAGAAAAGUGGGGAACUGCACAAAACAUCCUCUUGGAUGGAAUGUAAAUUAGUAGAAUCAGUAUGGAAGACAUUCUGUAGAUCUCUAAAAAAUUUACAUGAAAGUUUCCACAUGACUGAACAAUCUGCACCACUGAGUAUGUAGGCAAGGGAAAGAAAAUUAGCAUGUCAAAUAAAUAUUUGCUCUUUUUUGUUUAUUACAGCACUAUUCACCAUGAACAAUACAAUAUUAAACCUGGAUGUUCAUAAACAGACAAAUGAAUUUAAAAUGUGGUAUAUGUACACACACACACAAUGAAAUAGUAUAUAUCUAUUAAAAAUGAACUUUUAUCAUUUGCCAUGCCACAUACCAUGUAUAUUCCUUUACAUGUAACUAAGCAAAAUAACCUAGGUGUAGGAAUAAAAAUAACACAUUAUCUGACCUAUAUGUGGAAUCUAAAAAAUUUUCUCAUAGAAUUAUAGGGAAGAAUAGUGGUUAUGGGGGUCUAGAAAGAAUUAGAAAUGUAGGGAUAGGAAGAAGUUGGUAAAUAAAUACAAAAAAAGUAGUUAAAUUGAAAAAAAAGAAGCAAUGGUAUUCCAUUGCACAGCAGGGUCACUAUUUUUAAUAACAAUGCAUUAUAUAUUUCUAAAUAGAAGAGAGAAUUCCUAGGGUUCUAAUCACGAGGAACAUUAGAGGAGAUGAAUAAAUACCAUUAUUUGGUAUAUUGUAUGCAUGUUUUAAAAUAACAUGGUCUGCCAUAUAGUUGUGCAUGUAUAAUAUGUGAAUGGAAAAUAUAAUGAAACUUAAAAUGUAAAAUGUAACAAAAUCAGAGAAAUAGAUGGAGAGACAAGUAAAAAAUGCAAACAAACACAGACGCUGAUGAAUGAAGUGCACCACAGACACAGAGACCAAUAAGGCUAACAGAAAAUGGCACAAACUCACCCUGAGAUACACAAACAAAUUGGGGGUCCCGAGCAGCCUAACUGGGGGGCACCCCCCCAGUAGGGGCAGACUGACACCUCACAUGGCCAGGUACUCCUCUGAGACAAAACUUCCAGAGGAGCCAUCAGACAGCAGCAUUCGUGGUUCAUGAAAAUCUGCUGUUCUGCAGCCACCGCUGCUGAUACCCAGGCAAACGGGAUCUGGAGUGGUCCUCUAGAAAACUCCAACAGACCUGCAGCUGAGGGUCCUGUCUGUUAGAAGGAAAACUAACAAACAGAAAGGACAUCCACACCAAAAACCCAUCUGUACAUCACCAUCAUCAAAGACCAAAAGUAGUUAAACCCACGAAGAUGGGGAAAAAACACAGCAGAAAAACUGGAAACUCUAAAAAGCAGAGCGCCUCUCCUCCUCCAAAGGAACGCAAUUCUUCACCAGCAAUGGAACAAAGCUGGAUGGAGAAUGAUUUUGACGAGUUGAGAGAAGAAGGCUUCAGACGAUCAAACUACUUCGAGCUACAGGAGGAAAUUCAAAUCAAAGGCAAAGAAGUUGAAAACUUUGAAAAAAAUUUAGACGAAUGUAUAACUAGAAUAACCAAUACAGAGAAGUGCUUAAAAGAGCUGAUGGAGCUGAAAGCCAAGGCUUGAGAACUACGUGAAGAAUGAGGAAGCCUCAGGAGCUGAUGCAAUCAACUGGAAGAAAGGGUAUCAGUGAUGGAAGAUGAAAUGAAUGAAAUGAAGCAAGAAGGGAAGUUUAGAGAAAAAAGAAUACAAAGAAACGAACAAAGCCUCCAAGAAAUAUGGGACUAUGUGAAAAGACCAAAUCUACGUCUCAUUGGUGUACCUGAAAGUGAUGCGGAGAAUGGAACCAAGUUGGAAAACACUCUGCAGGAGAACUUCGCCAAUCUAGCAAGGUAGGCCAACAUUCAGAUUCAGGAAAUACAGAGAAUGCCAUGAAGAUACUCCUGAAGAAGAGCAACUCCAAGACACAUAAUUGUCAGAUUCACCAAAGUUGACAUGAUGGAAAAAAUGUUAAGGGCAGCCAGAGAGAAAGGUCAGGUUACCCACAAAGGGAAGCCCAUCAGACUAACAGCUGAUGUCUUGGCAGAAACUCUGCAAGCCAGAAGAGAGUGGGGGCCAAUAUUCAACAUUCUUAAAGAAAAGAAUUUUCAAUCCAGAAUUUCAUAUCCAGCCAAACUAAGCUUCUUAAGUGAAGGAGAAAUAAAAUACUUUACAGACAAGCAAAUGCUGAGAGAUUACUGCUCUAAAAGAGCUCCUGAAGGAAGCACUAAACAUGGAAAGGAAAAACCGGUAUCAGCCACUGCAAAACCAUGCCAAAUUGUAAAGACCUUCAAAGCUAGGAAGAAACUGCAUCAACUAACGAGCAAAAUAACCAGCUAACAUCAUAAUGACAGGAUCAAAUUCACACAUAAUAAUAUUAACUUUAAAUGUAAAUGGACUAACACUGUUGGUGGGACUGUAAACUAGUUCAACCAUUGUCGAAGUCAGUUUGGUGAUUUCUCAGGGAUCUAGAACUAGAAAUACCAUUUGACCCAGCCAUCCCAUUACUGGGUAUAUACCCAAAGGACUAUAAAUCAUGCUGCUAUAAAGACAUAUGCACACGUACAUUUAUUGCGGCACUAUUCACAAUAGCAAAGACUUGGAACCAACCCAAAUGCCCAACAAUGAUAGACUGGAUUAAGAAAAUGGGGCACAUACACACCAUGGGAUAUUAUGCAGCCAUAAAAAAUGAUGAGUUCAUGUCCUUUGUAGGGACAUGGAUGAAAUUGGAAAUCAUCAUUCUCAGUAAACUAUCACAAGGACAAAAAACCAAACACCACAUAUUCUCACUCAUAGGUGUGAAUUGAACAAUGAGAACACAUGGACACAGGAAGGGGAACAUCACACUCUGGGGGCUGUUGUGGGGUAGGGGUAGGGGGGAGGGAUAGCAUUAGGAGAUAUACCUAAUGCUAAAUGAUGAGUUAAUGGCUGUAGCACACCAGCAUGGCACAUGUAUACAUAUGUAACUAACCUGCACAUUGUGCUCAUGUACCCUAAAACUUAAAUUAUAAUAAAAUAAAAGAAAGUGGGGGUCAUGCUGUCUCCUCCUUCUAGAGGAGAAUGUCCUGAGGCCCAGUAAACUGGCACAUGAGCCUCCACCAGCUGUGCUUCUUAUCUGUAUUCAUCACUUUUCCUCUCCAUCAAUUUGUUCUUCCUGCUAGUGCUUCCUUUUCUCAGGUGGUGUUGCAAGAGACUGAGUUGCAUGUCAUCACUCUUAAGCUGCCAGAUAAAAUGCACAGUUAAGAUUAACAUUCAUCCCUCAAGAACUUUAACAAUUGAAACAACUGGAAAAUCCACCAAAAUCAUGUCAACUGAUGCCCACAAGGCAUCCCCUCAGUAGUUGUCUUGUUGUAUCCUGUUACAGUAUGGUCAUAGCACUGCUUGAAGAAGUUGAGAAAAGUAGUGAUGUUUCUGUAGGUCAGGCCUCUGUUUACAUUCCAGCCAUUUUGGAUUUACAUACUAUGAUACAAUAUAUAUCUUGGAGAAAAACAAGGGUGCAGCAAAGGUGCUGGAGUAUGUUGGUCUAAGUCUUAACCACACCACAUUCUCCCCAGUGUUACUUGUUAUCAGUGAAGACAAUUUCUAGCGUCCAUUACAGAACUCCUAAGAGUAAACUUAGGUGUAUUAUUUAGCUCUUCUCAUCAAUUCUGCCCUCUACACUUUACAACCUCUGGUAACUGAUAUUCUAUUCUCUACUUCUGUAAGAUAAACUUUUCUCAAAUUUACAUAUGCUUGAGCUAAGGGAUAUAAGUCUUUCUGUACCUGACUUAUUUUACUUUGCAAAAUGUUCUCAACAUUUAUCUAUGUUGUCAUAAAUAACAAAAAUGUGUUGAUUGGCACUUAGAUUGAUUUAAUAUCUUCAUUAUAGUAAAUAUUGCUGCAAUAAACAUGGGAGUAAAGAUAUUUUUCCAACACACUGAUUUUUUUUCCUUUUUUUUUUUCUUUUCAUAUGGAGUCUCACUGUGUUGUGCAGGACGGAAUGCAGUGGCAUGAUCUUGGCUCACUGUGAUAUCUCCUCCCAGUUUCAGCCUAUUCUCCCACCUCAGCCUUUGUUUGUUUUUGCCAAUAAGUCAUUUUUUCUCAUAUAUUUUGGCUAUUAAUCCCUAUUAAAUAAAUCGUGAAAUUUUUUUACCCUAUUGUAGGUCCUUUUCUCUGUUGUAAGCUUUCACUGUUGUGGUUGUAAUUGUUUUCUUGUGCAGAAGCUUAUAAAAUUUAUGUGUCAUGUAAUACUCUAUGUAUCUAUGGACAUAAAGUGAUAUAUAUAUAGAAUGAAUAAUGAUCAAAUCAGACCAUUAGAAUGUCAUUCAUCUCAAGUAUUUAUAAUUUAUAUUUGUUGUGAACAUUUAAAAUUAUCUCUUCUGCAUUUUUGAAAAUAUACAUGAAAUUAUUAUAUCUAUUCUGCACUGCUAUAGAACACCAAAACUUUUUUCUACUCCCAUCUAGUUGUAAGCUGGUACCUAUUGCCCACUCUUUCCUGAUUUACCCAUUCUCUGAACACCCCAGUGUCAAACCAAUACAAUUAUCCUCUCUACCUAUAUGAAAUAAUUUUGGUAUUCAAAAGCAUAUGUGAUUUGUAUGUUUUAUAUUUUUUCACUUGAUUCAUUUUACUUUACCUAAGGUACUACAGUCUUACUCUCAUUGCCACAUAUUGUACUAUUUUACUGUUUUUAUGGGUGCAUAGUAUUCCAUUUUCACCUCUCUUUCUCUUUCUCUUCCUCUUUCUCUCCCUCUCUCCCUCUCACGUGUGUGUGUGUAUGUGUGUGUGUAUACAUACAUACAUACAUUUAGAUUAGCAGUAUAUGUCAACUAUAUGAGUACAGCUGCAAUAAACAUGAAAUUGCAGGUGUCUCCAAUAUACUGCUUUUUUCUCUCUGAAUAAUGGAAUUUCUGGAUCAUAUAAUAGGUUUCAUGUUUGUCCACUUUGUGAGAAACUUCACACUAUUCUCCAUAAUGGCUAUAUUAAUUUUCAUUUUCAGUAUCAAUGUAUGAGUGUCUUUUUCUGACCUUUUUUCAUUAUUGUUUAUUAAAGGAACUGCUGUUUACCCAUUGUGUAUUUGUUGCCUAUCUGUAUGCUUUUAUGUUGAUAUAAUUCUUUUACUGUUAUUGUUUACUAUUUCUUUGUAGAUAUUUUCUUAUCACAUGGUAUGACAUUCCUAGCAUUAUUUUUUGUUUCAUCUUGCUUUCACUCUGGUGUCUUUCAUUGGUUCCCUACUAAUUUUAGAUUAUUUUUGUGAAUCAUGCCAUUGGUAUUAUAUUUUCCUUUUGAUUACACUAAAUAUAAAUAUUAUUUAGGUGGCAUUGUCAUUUUAACAGAAGUAAUUCCUCCAGUGUAUGACCCUGUGGUCUGUCCAUUUUUAGCUAUUUUUAAUAUAUUUAUCAGUGUUUUGUCAUUUUUAUUGUAGAGAUCUUUUACCUUCUUAGUAAAAUAAGAAGGUAUUUUAUUUCUUAUAGCAGUUAUAAAUAGGAUUCUCUUCUUUACUUCUAUUUAUUUAAUUAAUUAAUGGCUAUAGACAUGUUGCUAAUUUCUAUUGAUCUUGAAACUCUACUAAAUUUGUUUAUUAUUUCUAAGCAGGUUUCAAGGAGAUGCUAGGUUCUUUUAGUAUGAGGAGUAUAUCAAUGACAGAGGGACAGUUUGACAUUUUUAUUCGUAUUUGGAUGGUCUUCAUUACUUUCUCUUGCCUAAUUUUCUGGAGAGUAAUUCAUUAUUAUAUUUAAUAAGAGUGGUAAAAGUUCACACUCUUUACCUAGUUCCAGUUGCAGAAGAAAGGCUUUCAGCUUUUAGCCAUUCAAUGUGAUGAUAGCCCUGUGUUAGCCUUAUAUGGUCUUUAUUGUGUUGAGUGUAUUUAUUUUAUAGUUAGCCAUUAAAAGUUUUUUAAUCUUUUAAAAUUAUGUAUGAAUGUUGUUUUGCGGCCCAAUAUAUGGUGUAUUAUUUUUAAUGUCUUAUGUACUUGUAAAAAAUAUACAUGUUCUAGAGCUAUUGAGUAAAAUAUUUGAUCUCUAGUGCAGCUUAAUUACAUUUUAUCUUUGACAAUAUUUUGUUGAUAUAAGUAUGUGUUAUGCUGAAUGAAGGGUGCUAAAGUCCACUUGAUUGUGUUGCUGUAGAGAGGAAUUAUAUGCUGAGUUUUGCCCUAGAGACCAAAGCUGCUGUUGUAUUAAGGCACUAUUUAGAAAAUAGAACCAAUAAAGGACUAAAUUUUUCCCUGGGGUUUAACAUUUCUGACAUCUUGCUGACAUCCUUCAACACACACCCAGAGGUCUGAGUGUCAUGGCAAUAUCUGUACUCAUUGAUAUGGCCAAGUCACUGGACUAUAAGCCUGCCAAGGCCCAUUACCUUGAGAAGUGGGUAGUCCAGCUAAUUAGAUAGGCUGUGCUCUAGAUUCAGAAAAGCAAAGUGUGCACCCUCCUGAGCCCAAGAGCAAUCUUCCUGGUUUACAGCCACCACAACCACAUUUCUCUCACUCAGCAGUAGGAUCACAACACAACCUCCUGCCUCACUUUCUUUCUCAGAGAACAAUUGUGUGUCCUGCUAUGUUUACUGCCAUGCUUAGGAUCCAAGGACAGUGAGCAGGAAACCACCCAGGUCAGCCAUCAUAUAUAUCACCAGCACCAGUGUAACACAAUAGACAACCUAAAGACUGACCCACCCAGAUUACUGUGGACAUUACUGGACCCUCUGCACAAAACUCAUGAGUCCUCAAAGUGCCACUUGGUUUUCCAUCAUUAUAUCAGUGCCCAUUUGUGUUACUUGUUGGCUGCUACACCAGCCUACUCCAGGACCCAAUCCCCCACAGGGAUGCUCAAGAAUCAACCACUGGUGACUGAAUGCCAAAUCCAUUGACCCAAGAAGCAUACUACCUACUUCCUAGGGCCCAUAAAUUCCAUCCAAGCUCCCAAGAAUUGGUCUACACAAGGUAUUAAUACCAUCACCCAUUAAGCCACCUGGGUAUAUGAGGAUCAGUUAUCUCUGCUUACCAAUAUCACUGCCAGACUCACACAUGGCACCUCACACUGAAGGAUUGGCCUACUGGUUCCCUAACAACACUAUUACUACCUUCCACACACGUCCACUCAAUUGAUGCCCCUGUUCCAGCAAUAUCUUGGCCCAGCCUCCUCAAACAAAACAAAACAAAACAAAACAAAACAAAACAAAACAGUCUAAGCCAUAAAAAUAAAAUUAGUACAAACAAAGUUAAUGCUAAUUACAGCUAAGUUAAUUAUAUGGACUAUGAUUGCCACCCGUAACCAAAACCAAAGAACUGUACCUAAUAAAAAUUAUAAAAAUAUCUACAGAAGAAAUAUUUUCCUUUGAAAGAUUCUCUAUAUUGUUGACAGAAGGAAAAGCUGCAACAGUUGUGUAAACAUCAAUGUAAGAACCCAUGACCCAUGGGGAAAAAAUAGAAAAAGAAAACCUGCACACCUUUAGGGGAACACAAUAGUCCUUAAGUAAACAGACUUAAAAAAGAAGAGAUCUGCCAGGCAUGGUUGCUCACACCUGUAAUCCCAGCACUUUCAGAGGCUGCGACGGGCCGAUCACCUGAGGUAGGGAAUUUUAGACCAGCCAGACCAACAUGGAGAAACCCCAUCUCUACUAAAAACACAAAAUUAGCUGGGCAUGGUGGCACAUGCCUGUAAUCCCAGGUACUCAGAUGGCAGAGGAAGAAGAAUUGUCUGAACCCAGGAGAUGAAUGUUGCAGUGAGCUGAGAUCAUGCCACCGCAUUCCUGCCUGUGUGACAGAACUACACUCCACCUCACAAAAAAAAAAAGAGAUCUUACUCAAUGCAAAACAAGGAAUUAAAGAUCUAAAGAGAAAAAUAAAUAAAAUGUAUAAUGGCUAAACUAGAAAUAAAUAAAACAUAAUCUGAAUGAGUAAUUCGAACAGAGAGAUAUUAUUGAAAAAGAACUGUUAGAAAUGAUAAAUUUCUUUUCAAAAGGUUUAAUUGUGUAUUUUUUUCCUUUGUUUAGAAGCCCAACCUCCUUGUACUCUCUUGUUUCCAGCCAGCAAACUACACUGCUGCUUUAGUUGCACCCUGACAUUUCCAGACAUAACUUAUACUAAAGUUAUAUACAUAACUUUGGGACAUGCCUUAUACUACAAUGGACAAACCACUUCUACCCCCUCCUUUUACAAAUUGCACGUUUACCCUAUUUAGAAAAGAUUAAGUCUUAGCCUACCAGGUUAGUUUAGAUUGUGUUGUUCAACGCUAGACAAUAACAGAAGGACAGAGGGACAGGAACUUGGAAAGGAUAAAAGUCCCUUCUUUCCUUUGUUUGAGGUUCUCUUGCAAUUGUGACCAAGGCAGACAGGACUCUUCUGCAGAAGUAAAUUGACUUGCUGAGAAAACUUUUUGCCUGACUGCUGGUUCUUCUUUGCAGCAUCAAGCACUUGUUUCUAACAAUCUUGGGGCUCAUCUGGGAUUCCCAUUCUCCUCCAUGGAAGGGUCUCUGAUCCCCUCUCAUGAAGAGGCAUGUCCCAUGGCCUUAUGGCGGUGGCCUCAAGGGUAGGGAAUUGGAACCUACCAAACGUCAUGCAUAAACUGAGACUCUCAGCAAUAUGGGAAGAAAAUGCCUUCAAAUACCAUGCAACCGAGUAACAUUGUAUACAGACCUAGGUAAGAAAAACAAUGGGGAUGGUAAGGUAUUUCUUGGUGGUCAGAACAUCUUGGGGCUUGAAAGUGUGUGAGUGAGAUGCACAAUUGAGCUCCAAGUGAGUGUGGUCCUGAUCUUUGGUUCUGUGAUCACCUCAAUGGCUUAUGGCGGAUUCCUAUUGUGGGGUUUAUAAUGAUAUGCUAAUGCUAAGAGGGGUUUAAACUACACCUGGGUAAGUGGCCAGAGACAGAUGAAGUAAAAGUAAAAGAGUGCAAGGAACCUCCAGCAGGUGAACUUGAGCCUGCAGAGCAGAGAGUGUGAGAAACCUCUAGCAGUCUGGGUUGAGCCUCUAGAGCUGAGGGUGCAAGAAGUCUCUAGCAAGAGAGGUUAAGGCCCACACACUUGGGACACUCAAGGAAACACUAAAAACUUCCAGGAUGGAAAUAGCUCAAGCAAGUUAGGGGAUAAAAAGGAAAAGAUAGACAAUAAAAUCCCCUCAGAUAGCGUUCUUGGUCUCAUAUUAAAAUAUUGGAAGGAUAAUGAGAGAACCGAAUAUAAGAAAAAGCAACAAAUGAUAAAAUAUUGUUUUAUUUGGACCAAAGUACCUAUCCUCAAACCCUCAGUUUUCUGUGCAAAAUUUGGAUCUAGUGAGGACUGGAUUUGCUAACUUUUUAUAGAGUAUGACAAUGACAAAUGUUCUGUCUCCCAGGAGGAAAUAGACUGUGCUCUGUGUUGGUGGGAGGGGUCUGUUUUUCUCUAUCCCCUAAAAACUACAGGAGACAAGCAGGGAAUUACUUCCCCUCAGGAAAUUAAAAUCCCUAAUCCCAAACCACGCACUAGCACGUGCAACCCUUUAGACUACCUUCCUCCAUCUGCACCUGCUCUCACCACCACUGCCUCUAACCUCCAUACCCUGCAAGUAAAUGCAGCUGCCCGUAGUUCUGCCCCUUCCCUUACUCACAGUGUUCCUCCCCCUUAUAACCCUGACUCUUGGAGUCAUCCCUAGACUGAAUGCCCUCCCUUAGGAGUGCUUCAGUGUGAGAUAGAACAACAUUAGAAGAAUAUUUAAUACUUCCGGUUGCCCACUACCUCCAGAGUAUCAGCCACAAACCUUUUUUCCCUUAAGAUAAGUGUCUCUAGGUGGGGUGGGGGGCGGGGGCGGGUGGGAGGCGGGGAUUGGCUUUUUUAACACCCUAUUAGCCAGUUCAGAAGUCCAAUGCCUAAAAAGUGAAUAAUAGUCUCUAUGGAAUGGCAGACCAAAUUGAUCAAUUCUUAGGACCACAGUUGUAUAGUUGGACCAAGUUAAUGUCAAUCUUUGGCAUCCUCUUUUUUGGAGAGGAAAGAAGCAUGAUCCAUAGGGCCACUAUGACCAUUUGGGAGCAUGAGCACACCCCAGGUCAAAACGUUCCUGCAGCUGAACAAAAAGUUUCUGCCGAGAUCCCCAGUUGGGUCACAAAAAUAUAGCCUAUUGAGGGAAUAUGAGGGAUAUCCAAAAAAUGAUAAUUAAAGGAAUAAGAGAAUCAGUGCCCUGCACCAAGGAUGUUACCAAAGCCUUUAAUAUACAACAGGGAAAGGAUGAAAGGUCUAUGGAAUUUUGAGAGAGACAUAAAGAGCAGAUGGAAAAACAUGCUGGCCUAAAUUAGUAGACCACCUUGGGCAGGGAAUGUUAAAGCUCCACUUUUUCACCAAUAGUUGGCCAGAUAUUACCAGGAAAUUACAAAAGAUAGAAAAUUGGAAGACCACCAGCCCAUAGAGAAAUUUUUAAGGGAGGGCCAAAAGGUAUAUGUAUGGAGAGACAAAGAAAAGUAAAAACAAAAGGCAAAAAUUAUGCUAUCUACCUUACGUCAGGGAACUCCUCCACAGACAGCCCAGGAGAAUAGAACUUAUAAGCCUUCCAGUACAUGGCUGUCAGACCUAACACAGGAGUCAAAGAGAGCAAGCCAGAAAAACAGAAAAUAAAGAGAGAAAAAGUACAAAUAAAUGCUUAAAAUGUGGAAAAUUAGGUCACUUUAAAAAUAGAAUGCCCUGAAUGGGAAGACGAAAAGGAAGUCAUCCCACUUACAGCUUUUGAGGAAGAAUACGGGUUCAGGGGCUCUGUCUUUACUACCUUGAGUCCCACCAAGAGCCCUUGAUAAAUCUAGAGGUGGGACACAACUCUGAGCUUAUUAACUUUUUAACUGACUCAGCUGCAGCUUGCUCCUCUGUUUGUCAUUCUCCAUCUAAUAUAAUUUGUUCACAAGAAGAACUCCUUAUUUCAGGAGUAAAGAGAGAAGGAUUUAAAGCAACAUUUUAGAGGAAACAGAAGUCACAUAUAAAAAUAGAUUGGAUAAUGUAAAAUGUUUGCUAAUACCAGAGGCAGGAACUAACCUAAUAGGAAGAGAUUUAAUGCUACAUUUAGGUUUAGGUCUCUAUAUUAACCAGGAAAAAUUUUUUACCUCCCUAAACUUACUCACUACCAUAGGUGAAGAGUAUAUUCACCCCAGUAUCUGGUCAAAAGGAGGAAAUUGAGGAAAAUCAUGAGUUCCCCCAAUAAAGGUCAAAUUAAAAACUUCUGGGGAAGAAGUAAAAAGAAAGCAGUACCCUCUUCCUUUGAAAGCUAGGAUAGAUUUAAAACCUAUAAUUGAAAGCCUUGCUGAUGAUAGACUUCUUGAACCCUGUGUAUCUUCUUAUAAUACUCCAAUAUUAGCUGUAAAGAACCCAGAUGGGUCAUACCACCUAGUGCAAGACCUCCGGACUAUUAAUCAAACAGUUAAAACUACACAUCCUGUUGUUCCCAAUCUUACAUCAUUAUCCCACCUGAGCUUGAAUGGUUCAGAUUAUAGACCUGAAAAAUGCCUUCUGGGUUUGCCAUUUAGCAGAGGACAGCCAAGACUUGUUUGCCUUUGCAUGGGAAACCCCCACUCAUCUAAAGCAACAGCACCAUUGGACAGUUUUACCCCAGGGGUUCACAAAUUCUCCAAAUCUUUUUGGUCAAAUUUUAAAACAAGUCAUAGAAUAAUUUUCCCUUCCCUCAUGCAUAUGUCUACUCCAGUACAUAGAUGUCCUGCUUACUUCUGGGGAAAACAAAGAAAGAAUGGGUAGCAGCUUUUUCAACAAACUUUCUUAAUUUUCUAAGCGGAGAAAGGUUAAGACUCAAAAAGCAAACUUCCGUUUGUACAGCCCAAAGUAAAGUAUUUAUGAAUUUUAAUCAGCAAAGGCCAAUGCAGGAUUGGGUAUGAACCAAUUGAAGGUAUUAUAUCCUAGCUCUCCCAGAAAGAAAACAGUAGUUUAGAAAGUUUUUAGGCUUAGCUGGACACUGUUGCCUAUGGAUCAAUUCUUAUACCCUAGAAACAAAACCACUAUCCCAAAAACUCACCCAGAGGGAGCCAGAACACCUUAUCUGGACCCAACCAGAAAUGCAACAAAUAGAAAAAUUAAAACAUUUACUAGUUACUGCCCCUGUUCUAACUCUACCCUCCCUGGAACAGCCAUUUUAUCUUUUCAUCAGUGUAAACAAGGGAAUGGCUUUAGAAGUAACCACCCAAAAACAUGGGGACCACCAGCCCCCCCAUAAGCUUUCUGUCAAAACUGCUAGACCCAGUAACUUGUGUCUAGUCUGAAUGUGUCCAAUCUGUAGCAACAACUGCCUUACUAACAGAAGAAAGCACAAAAUUAAUUUUUGGGGGAAAUCUCACCAAGUUAGAACAAUCCUCAACCAAACGGCAGAGAGGUGGCUUACUGACUCAAGAAUUUUAAAACAUUAAGCAAUCGUGCCAGAAAGAGAUGACCUAACACUGACCACUGAAAAUUCUUUAAAUCCUGCUGCUUUCCUAACAGGAAAUCCAAACCCAGAGGUAACAGAGAAUCCACACCCAAAAGAAAGAGAUCAUAAAUGUUUAGAUUUAAUUAGUUACCAAACCUAAGUUAGACCGACCUAUGUGAAACUUUUUUCCAAACAGGGAAACAUCUUUUUGUAGAUGAUUCCUCCUGGGUAAUUGAAGGAAAAAAGCAUAACAGAUACUCUGUAGUGGAUGGACAUACCCUCACAAAACUAGAACCUACAAAAUGACUGGUCCACAUAAAUGCGUAGGCUAUUUGCCUUAAAUCAAGCCUUAAAUUUGUUACAGAAACAGGAGGGAAGAACUUAUACUGACUCCAAAUAUGUGUUUGGAGUAGGACAUAUCUUUGGAAAAAGUUGGCCUGAACAUGGCCUUAUUAAUAGUAAAGGUCAAAAUCUAAUCCAUAAAUAGUUAAUAAUACAAGUAUUAGGUAAUCUUCAACUACCUGAGGAAACAGGUCUUGUUCAUGUCCCAGGACAUCAAAAGAGCCUCUACUUUGAAAGUCAGGGAAAUAAGCUAGCUGACCAAAUAGCCAAGCACUCUGUCUAUUCCCAAACUACAUCCGUUUUUUAUUUAAUCCUUUGUCUUUCUCCUCUAACUGUACUCCCUGCUUUUCUCAUACAGUCCAGGAAAAACUAAAGAAAUUAGGAACUAUUUCAUAUCCAGCCAAACUAAGCUUCAUAAG
rnacentral:lncRNA from 1 species